rnacentral:rRNA from 1 species
CAGAGGUCCCAAGCGUUGUUCGGAUUCACUGGGCGUAAAGGGUGCGUAGGCGGUCGGGUAAGUCUGACGUGAAAUCUUCAAGCUCAACUUGGAAACUGCGUCGGAUACUAUUCGGCUAGAGGAAUGAGGGGAGACUGGAAUACUUGGUGUAGCAGUGAAAUGCGUAGAUAUCAAGUGGAACACCAGUGGCGAAGGCGAGUCUCUGGACAUUUCCUGACGCUGAGGCACGAAAGCCAGGGGAGCAAACGGGAUUAGAUACCCCGGUAGUCCUGGCCCUAAACGGUGCACGUUUGCUGUAAGAGGAAUCGACCCCUUUUGUGGCGAAGCUAACGCGUUAAACGUGCCGCCUGGGAAGUACGGCCGCAAGGUUA